rnacentral:piRNA from 4 species
UGGUGACUCUAGAUAACCUCGGGCCGA